AGAGUAAAACAGUACGUGAAAUUGUUGAAAGGGAAACGAUUGAAGUCAGUCAUGCCGGCGUUGGAUUCAGCUUGCUUCGCGGAGCUUGCGCAUUUCCUCGCAUGGCAGGUCAGCGUCAGUUUUGCGCGGCGUGAAAAGGCUCGGGUAAGGUAGCUCUCUUCGGGGAGUGUUAUAGACCUGGGCAAAUGCGCAGCGCGGGACUGAGGAUUGCAGCGGACACCUCUUCGGGGGCGCGGCGACCGAACCCUGCUCGGCCACCCUCGUUCGAUAGCGUGCUAACGGACGCGGGAGCGGCAGUGCACCGGAACAGGCAAGCCAGCGGUUCGCUUAGGAUGCUGACGUAAUGGCUUUAAACGACC
rnacentral:sRNA from 1 species